GCUCCGAUGGCCUGAGUUGUUAAAGCGUCUGACUCGGCUACGGAAGGUCGUGGGUUCGAACCCUAGCCGAAGCA